UACGGAGGGGGCUAGCGUUAUUCGGAAUUAUUGGGCGUAAAGGGCGUGUAGGCGGCUUCGUGUGUCCCAUGUGAAAGCCCUCGGCUUAACUGAGGAAGUGCAUCCGAAACUGGCAGGCUAGAGUACUAAAGAGGGUCGCGGAAUUCCCGGUGUAGAGGUGAAAUUCGUAGAUAUCGGGAGGAACACCGGUGGCGAAGGCGGCGACCUGGGUAGAUACUGACGCUGAGGUGCGAAAGCGUGGGGAGCAAACAGG
rnacentral:rRNA from 1 species